CACUGGCAGCUGGGCAGUUCUGUCCUGCUUUUCAUCCAAAAGGACGGAGGGAACGGCCACAAGAAUGAGCGAGUGAGCCAGGGGCCGAUGUUGUAACUGGACAAACAGCUCAAAGCUGGGUUUCCAAGCGUGGCAGGUGGCUCAUUAUGCGUGACAGAGGCAAGAGAGCAGGCUAAUCAGGCCUAGAUCCCACAGCUGCGGAGGUUCAAGCCCUGUGCGGGCCACCAACCACUCCGUGAGGCUCGGGCUCUUUGGGUUCAAAGUUACCGAGGACCCCUGGGCGGAGCACAGGAUCACGAACAGCUGAGGCAACAAUCAAAUGGUUUGAAAUAUGAAACAGAAGCAGGCCAUGAAUCAGGGCCCCCAUGAGAAGGGGACACGGGUUCGAGCCCUCGUCCGGGAAGAUCCCACAUGCCAAAGAGCAACGAAGCCCGUGCGCCGCAACUACUGAGCCCACGUGCCACAACUACUGAGCCUGCGCUCCAGAGCCUGAGAGCCACAACUAUUGAAGCCCGUGUACCACAACUACUGAGAGCCUGCGCUCUAGAGCCCACGAGCCACAACUAGUGAAGCCCGCGCGCCUAGAGCCCGUGCUCCACAACAAGAGAAGUCACCUCAAUGAGAAGUUCACGCACCGCAACGAAGAGUAGCCCCCGCUCGCUGCCACUAGAGAAAGCCCACGCGCAGCAACGAAGACCCAACGCAGCCAAAAAUAAAUAAAUAA